GAUGAACGCUGGCGGCGUGCCUAAUACAUGCAAGUCGAGCGAACGGACGAGAAGCUUGCUUCUCUGAUGUUAGCGGCGGACGGGUGAGUAACACGUGGAUAACCUACCUAUAAGACUGGGAUAACUUCGGGAAACCGGAGCUAAUACCGGAUAAUAUUUUGAACCGCAUGGUUCAAAAGUGAAAGACGGUCUUGCUGUCACUUAUAGAUGGAUCCGCGCUGCAUUAGCUAGUUGGUAAGGUAACGGCUUACCAAGGCAACGAUGCAUAGCCGACCUGAGAGGGGGGUCGGCCACACUGGAACUGAGACCAGGUCCAGACUCCUACGGGAGGCAGAAGUAGGGAAUCUUCCGCAAUGGGCGAAAGCCUGACGGAGCAACGCCGCGUGAGUGAUGAAGGUCUUCGGAUCGUAAAACUCUGUUAUUAGGGAAGAACAUAUGUGUAAGUAACUGUGCACAUCUUGACGGUACCUAAUCAGAAAGCCACGGCUAACUACGUG
rnacentral:rRNA from 1 species